UAAAAGGUUAUGAAAUAUAAAAAUUAUUUUACCAGGAUUAGAUACCCUGUUAAUUAAAAUUAAAAUGCCUAAGGUAGUAAAAAUUAAUGAAACUUAAAGAAUUUGGCGGUAUUUUAUUCUUUUUAGAGGAACUUGUUAUGUAAACGAUAAUCCACGAUAAAUAGAUAUUUUUUAAAUUUAUAUACCGUCGUAUAAAUUUAUUAUAAUUAAUUUUUUAAAAUUAUAAAAAUUAAUAAUUCAGAUCAAGGUAUAGUUUAUAAAAAUAGUUUAAAUGAGUUACUAUUAUUUAUAUAAAGGAUAGAAAUAGAAUUAGGAUUUAAGAGUAAUUAAUUUUGAUUGGUGAUUAAGCUCUAAAAUAUGUACAUAUCGCCCGUCGCUCUUGUUUUUCAAUAAGAUAAGUCGUAACAAAGUAAAGCUGCUGGAAAGGGGUUUUAGAGUGAA
rnacentral:rRNA from 1 species